UGUGUAGGCGGUUGUUUAAGUUUGGUGUGAAAUCUCCCGGCUCAACUGGGAGGGUGCGCCGAAUACUGAAUGACUCGAGUGCGGGAGAGGAGAGUGGAAUUCCUGGUGUAGCGGUGAAAUGCGUAGAUAUCAGGAGGAACACCGGUGGUGUAGACGGCUCUCUGGACCGUAACUGACGCUGAGACACGAAAGCGUGGGUAGCAAACAGGAUUAGAUACCCUGGUAGUCCACGCCCUAAACGAUGCAUAUUUGGUGUGGGCCGUUCAGUCGGUCCGUGCCGGAGCUAACGCGUUAAAUAUGCCGCCUGGGGAGUACAGUCGCAAGGCUGAA
rnacentral:rRNA from 1 species